ensembl:misc_RNA Metazoa_SRP Metazoan signal recognition particle RNA
GCCAGGCGUGGAGGCUCACGCCUGUAAUCCCAGCACUUUGGGAGGCCGAGAUGGGUGGAUCACCUGAGGUCAGGAGUUUGAGACCAACCUGGCCAACAUGGUGAAACCCCAUCUCUA